rnacentral:rRNA from 1 species
UACGAAGGGGGCUAGCGUUGCUCGGAAUCACUGGGCGUAAAGGGUGCGUAGGCGGGUCUUUAAGUCAGGGGUGAAAUCCUGGAGCUCAACUCCAGAACUGCCUUUGAUACUGAAGAUCUUGAGUAUGGGAGAGGUGAGUGGAACUGCGAGUGUAGAGGUGAAAUUCGUAGAUAUUCGGAAGAACACCAGUGGCGAAGGCGACAUACUGGUCCGUUACUGACGCUGAGGCUCGAAAGCGUGGGGAGCAAACAGG